ensembl:lncRNA
GUCUGUGCUGGGUCUUCGUUGUUGCUCGGGCUUUUCUCUAGUUGUGGUGAGCAGGGGCUUCUCUUGUUGUGGAGCAUGGGCUCUAGAGCACUGGCUUAAUAGUUGUGACCAGGGGCUUAGUUGCCCUGCGGCACAUGGGACCUUUCUGGACCAGGGAUGGGACCUUCCUGGACCAGGGAUGGGACCUUCCUGGACCAGGGAUCGAACCCAUGUCUCCUGCAUUGGUAGGUGGAUUCUUUACCACUGAGCCACCAGGGAAGCCCUACUCCUAUUAUCUUUGCGCUACUUCGUUCUUUCGUUCAAAACACUCUCUGCAUCAUGAGGGAGUGUUUGUGGAUGGCUUUUGCACCUCCAGCCUCUUUGCAGUUACCCUAACUCAGUAUGUAGUUGUGGCCUCCCCUGCUGACCCCAAGGUAUGAUGGUCCCUCCUCCCUCCCUGGCACUGCCCUCAUGCUCUGUCGAGGCAGGGGCCACUCUGCCACACCUCUCUGCUCAAUGUUGCACCUAACCCACCAGGCUGGUCCACCCCUGCUGCCCACCCACUGCACAGGCUGGCAGGUGGGAGCUCUGCCCUAGUGGUACCAGCUGCCAUAUCAACCUAACCCAUCAAGAGCUGUCUGGGAUGGGGCCAGCGGCAGGCUGAGCCCAGGGCGCCUGCCGCCUCAGACAGUGAUCCCUGUGCCUGCAUGCCUCGCUCCAUCCAGGGCUGGAGGAUCACGAUGCUGGAGCAGCCAGGUACUGCUUUGGACCCUGCUGCUUUCUGGAGUCACACCUUUCUGCUCAUGGUGCAUUGGUAGCCAGGCAGGCACCAACUAUAGAAGCCCCGCGCAGCUUCUGUAGUGAUCCCACAGCGAGCCCUCCCCCAAGCAAGUGACUGUUGAUGAGCAAGGGUCAACCCGUGACCGUUAGUGGUUCAGCUCUGCUAUUGGUCAGUAUCACAGUGGGUCCCUCCCCCUCCCCCAUAUACUAAAGGAGCCUGAAUUUGGACUGAGGGAAGAUAGUUUUUGAGAAGCUACUCUGCCAUCUCCCUUGGCUAGCUUUCUGAUUAAAGUCGUUAUUCCUUAUUCCAACAACUCCUCUCCUGAUUUGUUAGCCUGUUGGGCGGUGAGCAGAAUGAGCUUGGGCUGGGUAACAAAUACAGCUGGUGGCUUUACUUGCUACUGAGUUGUAAGUAAAGGUGUGAUACAUUCAUUUCCAUUAUAAUUUGUUUUUAACAUCUUAAUUAUUGAGAUUAUAAAAGAAGAGGAGGAAACUCCUUAAUUUUCAUGUGUUUGAGAAUUUGUGUGUGAGAAAUGCUUUGAACUAAUUAAUGAGGCUAACAACAGAAACUUCUAAGUUGCAAGGUGUUCAAUUAACCACAGCUGCCCAUGGGGAGUGUUCCCUGGACUUACGGAUCCAUUGCAAGUUUUUGAGAACCUAAGGCAGAGCUUUGAGUCUAACACAGGAGAGGAUUGUCUAAUUAGAACAGCAGACUGGGAGUUGGUUACCUUGAGCUGUAUUUUUGCUUUCAUAAGUUUUUCUGUCUAACCUUGGGCAAGUUGCAUAAUCUUUAGGGGUUUUCUUAUCUUUCAAAUGCUGAUAAUACUUGCUUGAUUUUAGGUCUUUUUAAGGUCUUGGAUGAAAGCUGUUUUAUAAGCUUGUUGCAUUAUCAGGAAAUGCCAGAUUUAGAAGUUAUUAUUAACUAUGGGAGGCGUGUGAACACACAUCUGCCCCUCUUCCAAGACUGGAAAAAAGAAAAAAGAACUUCACCAUCAGAGUUCAACUGCUGGGUUGCCAUGGGCACGGUAUUCUUUUCCUGUCAUUUGUAGAGCAGUUAACAGUCAGUAGUGACUAGUGGGGAGAAGUUGGGCUUUCACGAUUCUUUUCAGGUCAACAUUAUUUAUUUAUUGACUGCAGGCCUCAUUAUAUUCCACUGGGUGGCUUUACAAGUGUCACCACAAUGAACAUCUGACAUUGGUUCUUAUAACAUAAAGGAAAUGACCUGACAAAAAUGUGGAAUCCCACAAGGUAAAUAAAUGAACAUGCUUUAAAAACACAACUCCAGAAUUAUAGAAGAGGGAAAAUAAUCAGUUUUCAGUGGGUAGCUUAUAACAGAUAUACUGUACCACACUUCCCUGACCGUAAGCAGGCACCCAUUCAUCAUGGUUUCUAUAAAGUUUAACCAGACUGGUAAAUAUUGAUUCUAGUAGAAACAGCAUCCUCUUUAUUUCACCUCAUUUACAUUCUAUGAAAGUAUCAUGCUUCUUUUUUAUGAUAUUAUUCAUUGAUGCUUCAAAAAAAAAAAAAAAAAAAGAGAAAAUUUGUUAUGAAUCACACUGCCAAAUGCUUGAGGCAAAUGUUUCCAAAACAUAGUGAGCGAUUUGUUCCUGAACUGUCGCAUCGCCUGUUCCUUUUUAUGUUAUUUGCCUUUUUUUUUUUUUUUUUGUGGAGCUAGAAAACAGGUUAAGUGUAAGGCAAGAUGACUUCCUGACAAGCAAUCGUGAAGCCCUGCUCUGAAAGUUGCUUUCAUGGGGAUGGAUCCUGAUAUAUGGGCUCCUCCUGGGAUCAGAGACACAGGGGAAGGCUCACCAUGACACCAAACUUCCUCAAUCACUCAAAUGUAAAUAGCUCCAGUGAAGUUACAUGGUGUACUGAUUUAUUCACUUAAAUAGUAGUGUCAACUAUCUACAAUAUGCUGGAUACCAUGGAAGGCACUGAGAUAAAGAUUAAUAAAAUGCAAUCCAUAAUUUCUAGAGAUUUACAAUAUAGUGGAAGAAACAAAUAUCAAACUAUGUAAUUUAAAUAUGUCUAGGUCUUACCAGUCUAUUGGUAAAAUUAUGUAACUUAAAUUCCUCUGGUUCAUAGUUCUACCAGAUAAUGUAGAACCUGGUCUCUAAAAAAUCCCUCCUGGUUAUUUGUGGGGACUCUUGGGGGUGAUUCAUGUGUCUUUAAGAAUAGUCUUAAAGUCCACAUGUCUCCACAAGACAGUCAUUUUGACCUGGUCACUGUUGAUGGUGUCCCAUAAGAAAGGUGACAACAUUGUCGAAGGCAUCUAAAGACAGGGUAUUGCCUACAAUUAACCUCAGAUCCAUGAUUUUGGAAACUGGGUAACUAGUGAUAGCAUUAAUCAAAGAGGAGAAGGAAUAAAAGUUGGGAGGGGGUAUUAAAGGUGAAUAUUAUAUAUUUUGACUUAAAGGUGUCUUUCAGACACCAAAUGGAGAUGAUAAAUGAGCCGAGUUACCAUUCCAUUCUUCAGGAAAGAACUGUGUGAAUUUGGAAUGUAUCAGCAUGUUGAGGGUAUUGAAGCUGUUUUUUGUUGAGCUUGCCCUGGAUGAGUGUUUACAGCGUGGAGAGGAGAGAGAAAGAGUUCAGGCUUGUUGUUAAAGCCAUGUUUUGGUAGGUGAGAUACUGGGGAAAUAUGAUGAUAAAUAGCAUCUUAAAGUAAGAGACUGAGAGGGUCAGUAUUAGGGAAAAUGGGCAUAAGCUUAGGAGAUUUAUUAGCCCAAGACAGACUCCAACAGUGUCCAGGCUUGGCAAUGGCUGCCCCUUCUGUAGAGGAGUCAAGUUUGCAAACUAAAAUUUGGAGGAAUUAGUUCCCUUGAUAAGAUUCUAUAGCUCAGAGUCUCCUUCUUCAAAUACCAUCUUCAUCUUCCUAGAGUCAGACCAAACCAAUAUGAAGUUUGGGGGCAGGGACACAAAUAUUCAGUCCACUGAAAUUACCAGUAACCAUAUUUACCUGUGUGUUCUCUCCUAUCUACUGUCUCAUCUCCCCAGGUAAAUAAUACUGAUUUUUGUGAUCAUAUUCUUGCUUAAAAACAUAAUCACCUGUGUGCCUAGAUAAUAUAUUUUUCUUUGCUUAUUUUUUAAUUAAAAUUUUUUUCAAUGGGAAAAUUUUUUAUUAUUUUAAAAUAACAAAAUUUAUUUUUUUUAUUGGCAUAUAAUUGCUUGCAGUGUAUUAUCUCUGCUGUACAAGGAAGGGAACCAGCUAUAUAUGUACAUAUAUCCCCUCACUCUUAGGUCUUUCUCCCUCCAUCCCACCCAUCUAAGUAAUUCACAGAGCACCAAGCUGAGCUUCCUGUGCUGUAAGCAGGUUCCCACUAUCUAUUUUACACAUGCAAAAGUACUGGAGUCGGGUGCCAUUGCCUUCUCUGAAAAUAUUCCCUAUUUCCCUAUUUUACUUUUAAACUCAGUUUAGUUGGUUGUCUGAGGUUCCUCAUCAGCCAGUUACUGGCAGGAAUAAGGUCUGAAUUUAGGCUUUUAACCUAUUGGUUGAACUCUCUUCCCCCAAAUCUUAUGACUCAACUCACUCUGCUGGGCUAAAUACUACCAGCUUCAGUUUUCACAUUGAUUCCUGGAGGUAGAAACCUAAGAAAACUUCAUUGGUGGGGGCUUUAAGAUUUUGAGAAACCAUUUGGAAGGUUACAUCAUGAGUAAUGUGUCACAGCACAAAUUAAUACAUUAGACAAUUUUGUCAUCGUUCCCAAGUCUAGAAAUUGAUUCUUGAGUUUCCUGGUCUAUGGCACCAUAAAAAGAUGCACAUCCAUCACCUUACAUAGGAUGGUGAGAUUUUAUCUUUGGAGUUACUUCAAAGUGACAAAUAGUUAAUUAGGUACAUAAAGCACUUUUUAAACAUAGACAGUUUUGAGCUUUAAGUUUUGUUGCUGAUAGAGGCAUCCAAGAGAGUGCAAGGAUCUGAACACUAAAUAAACCUAGAACCCUCUCCACUGUCUCAAUACAUGCUGAGUCAGCUUUGAGACUAAUUAAUCAAAACAAAUUUACAACUUAGCCCACUAAUUACUGUGCUUGGCAGGGGAGGGGAGGAAUGUGCUGAAAAGGGAAACCCGAAAGUGAGAAAGGAGAGUGAUCCUGUCAUUUUCCUGUUAAGGGCAGAGGUGCAGGGCAGUCAUGUAGGAAGUGCUGGUCCUGUUUUCGUUCAGGCAAAGGGGCCUUGUCAAGAUGACAGCUGGAGAUGCAGGUCCCUGCCCCUUUGGUAAAUGCAGGGCAUCUGUUACCUGUCCUCCGGAAUAAGGUCAACUAUGGACUGAAUGUGCCCCUCCCACCCCAAAAUUCAUGUAUUGAAGCCUAACCCUCCAUUUGAUGAUAUUUGGAAUUGGGGCCUGUGGGUGAUAUCAGGUUAUAAGGGUGGAGCCCUCAUGAUUGAAUUAGUGCCCUCUUAGCAAGAGAAAUGAGACAGCUUGCUUCUCUCUCUGCUCUCUACCAUGUGAGGAAGGACAUGGCAAGAAAAUGGCCUUCUAUAACCAGGAAGAGGGUUUUCUCAGAACCCAACCAUGUUGGCACCCUGAUCUCAUACUUACAGCCUUCAGAAAUGUGAGAAAGGAGUGUUUGUUGUUUAAGCCACCUAGUCUAUGGGUAUCUUGUUAUAACAGCUCAAACUGAUUAAGAUAAGGCCUUUCCCUUACAGAAAAGCACGAUCUUUAUAGAAUCUGUCCCUUGAUCUGUAGGAUAUAAGGAAUCCAGGAGACUAAGGCUCUGGAGGAUCCAUAUGUCUCCCCAUCAUAUCUAGUGCAGGUUUUACGGCUCUGGUUACUUGCAUUACUGACAAAUUCCUGCCUCUAAAUUCCUAAAUCUGCACGUUGAGUCACAUGAUUGUCAAGAAGCAUUUAACAGGAGGCUUCCUGUGUGCUGUUUUGGAUCUGUCAGGAAUCCUCUGUUUCUUAUUAAUUCCUGAAUAUUCAGGAAUUAAGAGGAGAGGCAAGCCUCUGUGGAACUGAGGAAUCCAGGCAUUUCCUUCAUUAGUUUUUCAAUAGGGUUAUAAGUGCCCUCUUCCUUCUUGUGAACCAUAGGGUGAAAGUGGUUGUUUACAACGCACUCUCUCUCUUUAAUAUGAAUCACCUAUGUUUUGUAAGUCUGGAAUUUUAAUCUUUAUUUUUGCUGAAAAUAACUACCUUGUAGGAUAGUAUAUAUGCCCACACCAUGUUGAUUACAACACCUUUGCUCCAUCAGAGCUUUGGUUCCCGUGUCUUUCCUUCUUUCUUUCUCGCUCUCCCUAUCUCUAUUUUUGGUUGAUUUCCUGGAAUGCAGAAGCCAGCUGUGUAACCCAGGAAAUAUUAGCUUCUUUUCUUCUUUCACUUUCUCAUCGUCGACUCCAGACCACCAGGUUCUGGUCCACUAAAGGACCUCAACACAUGAUCUCACAUGAAACCCAGCCUAUCUCAGUUUCUAGAAUAUGAUAGACUUGAAGCAGGUAUAACUUGAAUAGCUACCUUUGCUGCCAUUGAUUUGGUGUUGACAUUUGAGCUAUGAUGUCAGCCAUUGUCUUUGGGCCUGUAGAACUUUUGCCUUGUAUUUAAUUCUGGUCCCUUAUUUUGGAUUUUGGUUUCUUCUGCCUUAUUGUUUCCUUUCCUCCUUUGCCUCUGUGACUCUUAGCAUCUUGUUCCCAAACCAUGGCUGUAAUUGUUGGAUAAUAGCUGUCUGCCUAAUUCUUAAUGCUGUUCACUCAACAGAUAUGGUCUGACUUGUUAAGUGAGAGCAUGACUAGGAGUUCCCCUUUUCCUGCUGGGGACAUAGUUGUAUUACAUUUUCUAGUAGGGGAUGAGCCCAUACAUCUGAGUUCUGGUCAAUAUAAUGUGAAGGGAUGUGAUGAGUCACUUCUAGACCUGGCUCCUGUAAUCUUUCU